rnacentral:rRNA from 1 species
GGGGACCGCCGGACAGUUCGUGAGGUUUUGGCCCUCUCAAAAGCCAAUUCCCCGGGGCUGAUCUUCCUGUCAGAAACACGUCAAGCCUCUAGUCAAAUGGAAAAGCUUAAAAGAAGAUUGAAUAUGAAAGGGUUUGUUGGUGUCUCUAGUGCGGGCCUCAGUGGGGGGCUUGCAUUAUUUUGGGAUGAAAAUCUGCAAGUGACCGUGCUUGAUUCCUGCACGUGGUAUAUUGAUGUGAGAAUUGUUGACAACGCGAAUGAUAAAGCGUGGUGA